GAUGAACGCUGGCGGCGUGCCUAAUACAUGCAAGUCGAGCGAACGGACGAGAAGCUUGCUUCUCUGAUGUUAGCAGCGGACGGGUGAGUAACACGUGGAUAACCUACCUAUAAGACUGGGAUAACUUCGGGAAACCGUAGCUAAUACCGGAUAAUAUUUUGAACCGCAUGGUUCAAAAGUGAAAGACGGUCUUGCUGUCACCUAUAGAUGGAUCCGCGCUGCAUUAGCUAGUUGGUAAGGUAACGGCUUACCAAGGCAACGAUGCAUAGCCGACCUGAGAGGGUGAUCGGCCACACUGGAACUGAGACACGGUCCAGACUCCUACGGGAGGCAGCAGUAGGGAAUCUUCCGCAAUGGGCGAAAGCCUGACGGAGCAACGCCGCGUGAGUGAUGAAGGUCUUCGGAUCGUAAAACUCUGUUAUUAGGGAAGAACAUAUGUGUAAGUAACUGUGCACAUCUUGACGGUACCUAAUCAGAAAGCCACGGCUAACUACGUG
rnacentral:rRNA from 1 species